GGGGCUGUAGCUCAGUGGCAGAGUACUUGUAUAGCACAUGUGAGGCACUGGGUUCGAUUCUCAGCAGUACCA
rnacentral:tRNA from 1 species